CCAAUAGCGUAUAUUAAAGUUGUUGCAGUUAAAAAGCUCGUAGUUGAACUUCGGGGUUCACCCAUUGGUCAGGCUUAAUUGUCUGUACUGGUGAGAUGAGUCUCUACCUUCUGAGGAACUUUCAUGCCAUUUAUUUGGUGUGAUGGGAAAUCAGGACUGUUACUUUGAAAAAAUUAGAGUGUUUAAAGCAGGCUAACGUCUGAAUACAUUAGCAUGGAAUAAUGAAAUAGGACGGCUUGAUUCUAUUUCGUUGGUUUCUAGGAUCACCGUAAUGAUUAAUAGGGAUAGUUGGGGGCAUUAGUAUUCAAUUGUCAGAGGUGAAAUUCUUGGAUUUAUUGAAGACUAACUACUGCGAAAGCAUUUGCCAAGGAUGUUUUCAUUAAUCAAGAACGAAAGUUAGGGGAUCGAAGACGAUCAGAUACCGUCGUAGUCUUAACCAUAAACUAUGCCGACUAGGGAUCGGACGAAGUUAAUUAAUAAUGACGCGUUCGGCACCUUACG
rnacentral:rRNA from 1 species